AGUGAGGUGGGUUUCAUCAUCCGCUUCUGUGCCAGAGUCCUCUUCCGCUCUGAGAAUACCACUCCCUGGUGAGUGAAAACAAAGCCGCCUUUAAAUUGAGAUGGACAACAACGUCGUCCUUUGACCUUAAGACCAGAGAGAGCCCGCAGGAGGUCGAGUCCCAUCGCGCCAACACCAAGACGUAAAGCACCUGGGGUGCUGCCACAACAGAGAAGUAAUCGCGCUGUCACCUCUUGUUGCUGCAUCCCAUGUCACCAGAGGUUUCAUGCAAAGCCCAGCCUCUCCUGCCGUGCACAGAGAAGCAAUCUCGGAGGAGCAGCAAGGGUCACAGGCCUCUGCAGCUCUGUAACGCGGGGAAUGUGAAUGGAUGAGAUUGCUCCAGGGCUGUCCACAGCCUCCCUCAAUGUGGCUGGAUACACAUCGGUGGAUGUAAAUGUCACAGUUCUGCUCAAGAGUCAAGACUGUUUUAUUGUCAUGUGUCCCAGAUAGAACAAUGAAAUUCUUACUUGCUGCAGCACAACGGAAUAUGUAAACAUAGCACACUGUAAACAAUAUGCUAAACGAUAAAUAAAAAGUAGAAUAUGUGUAUAUA